rnacentral:rRNA from 1 species
AUGUCCACAACUACGUGUUGCGGCCUUUGCGGUGCUGAAGAUUCUUGGCAACACUCUGUACUCCAUUGCAGCGUCACAAGAUGUGUCUGGGCCCUCCAAGAUCAUGAUCUGGUCGAAGCACUUAACAGUACGGUUGAGCCCGACGCAAAAAGGUGGGUGUUCGCACUGCAUGACAUGCUAACAAGUGAAGAGUUCACCCAGACAAUUGUCACCCUCUGGUCGAUCUGGUUUGCAAAGAGAAAGGCAUUGACAGGGCCUGUGCAGCAGCAGCAUUAGCGAGAGGCUUGGAGGCCACCACCACCUGGGUGUGUAAAGAUAAAAGUGGAUGGGGCUUUGGCACGUCAGGGAAACGGAGGCGCUUUCAGUGCAGUAUGCAGGGACUCAUCCGGUAUGUUUCUGGGUGUUUCAGCUAUACGGUGCAAGGACAUAACUGAUCCGGCAGUUCUUGAGGCUCUGGCAUGUCGCGAAGGUCAGGCACUGGCCAAUGACCUCGGUGCUACGUAUGCGUUAAUAGCAUCCGACUGCAAGAGGGUUAUCCAGGACAUCAAGAACAACACUGGAGGAGAAUACGGUUCGGUCAUUAGGGAAAUUUUGGAAACAUCAUUAUUGUUUCAACUUUGUACCUUCACCUUUGAAGGAAGAGAGACUAAUAUAGAGGCACAUAGACUUGCUAGACAUGCUUUGGGUCUGGGUCAUGGACGCCAUCUGUGGCUUAUAGAUCCACCAGACCUCAAUUGUAUUCCUAUGAACUUGUUGGCUGAAUGA